UGAUGAAGAAGCUGCUUUAAAUAAGUGUAUCACUGCUGUAUUCCACGUUGGUAAAAUUAGGGAAGAAAUGGAAAACGGUUCAACUUUAGGAAAUCAACAAGGUUCCGCAUUUGUGGAUGAGUUACAAGUGCAGGAAAAUGUCCUCCAGCAAUGUUUGGGGAAGCUUGAAAGUGCUGAAGCAACCAGGGCUAUGUUGAUUUCCCAGCUUAAAGAGGCUCUUCAGGACCAAGAAUCAAAGCUGGAUGCUAUUCGUUCUCAGUUAGAAGUUGCUCGACGCCAAAUUGAGCAAGCAGUCAAUCUGAGAAAUAGGUUGACAUCUCCCAUUGUUCCUGGCCCCACCACUUCCAUACCAAUGCCAGAUGCUGCCAAGGUUAUUGAGCACAAUACACCUCCUGUUCAGCCAACUAGCACUCCACCUCAGCCUACCCUUGGACAACCUGUGGUUUCUUUUGCACCAAUGAAAACUACAGAUGAGGAGAACAAGAAAGCAGCAGCAGCAGCUGUUGCUGCUAAGCUUGCUGCCUCUACAUCCUCAGCACAAAUGCUUACGUCUGUUCUUUCGUCUCUUGUUGCUGAGGAAGCUGCCUCCAUGAAUGGUGG
rnacentral:misc_RNA from 1 species